rnacentral:lncRNA from 1 species
CCCGCCCAGCGGAAGGGCAGGGGAGGAGGGAGGGAAGGAGGGAAGGGAGAAGGGAAGGGAAGGAGGGACGGAGGGAGGGAGGCGCCGCUGUCACGGCCGCGCCGCGGCUCCCGCCCUUCUGGGCAUGUGCGGCGGGGGAAGGGAAGGGAGGGAGGGAGGGGAGGGAAGGGACGGGCCCGCGGCGGAGGAGGGGGGCAGCCCGGAGACCGGACCCCAAAGCCCAAACCCUGCACCAAUGUCAGCGCCUCGGCCCCGUGGUGAAGGCGGAGAGGGCUUGAGGCAGCGGGGAGCCCGCCCUGAUGGCCCUUCUGACCGACUGCAGCCCUGGCACCGAGCUAAAACUGUCAACAGCAGUCCCGCGAGAGGAAGCUUUUACCCCUGUGCUCGGUUUCAACCCGUAAGUAACGCUUCGUCCAUGAGGAGCCACGCAAAGUUUUGGGGGUGCUUUCAAGUGUCAUCUCUUCCUCCCCUUAAAACAAAACAAACUCACUUUCUAGAAAAACACACAGCAAUACGACUUCUUCUGCGUCAGAUCAGAUCGCUCAGCAGAACUGGCUUUCUGUCUGCUCUUGGAAAUAUAUGCAUAAAGUCAAAGCAGACUCUGUAG